rnacentral:rRNA from 1 species
GAUGAACGCUGGCGGCGUGCCUAAUACAUGCAAGUCGAGCGAACAGAUAAGGAGCUUGCUCCUUUGACGUUAGCGGCGGACGGGUGAGUAACACGUGGGUAACCUACCUAUAAGACUGGAAUAACUCCGGGAAACCGGGGCUAAUGCCGGAUAACAUUUAGAACCGCAUGGUUCUAAAGUGAAAGAUGGUUUUGCUAUCACUUAUAGAUGGACCCGCGCCGUAUUAGCUAGUUGGUAAGGUAACGGCUUACCAAGGCAACGAUACGUAGCCGACCUGAGAGGGUGGUCGGCCACCUGGGAACAGAGACUCGGUCCAGACUCCUACGGGAGGCAGCAGUAGGGAAUCUUCCGCGAUGGGCGAAAGCCUGACGGAGCAACGCCGCGUGAGUGAUGAAGGUCUUCGGAUCGUAAAACUCUGUUAUUAGGGAAGAACAAAUGUGUAAGUAACUGUGCACGUCUUGACGGUACCUAAUCAGAAAGCCACGGCUAACUACGUG